rnacentral:misc_RNA from 1 species
GAUGAAGAACGUAGUGAAAUGCGAUACGUAAUGUGAAUUGCAGAAUUCAGUGAAUCAUCGAAUCUUUGAACGCAUAUUGCGCUCUCUGGUAUUCCGGAGAGCAUGCUUGUUUGAGUAUCAGUAAACACCUCAACUUCCAUAUCUUUUUUGAAAUGGGAGUUGGACUUGAGUGAUCCCAACGCUUUUCCUCACCGAAAAGUGGCGGGUUACUUGAAAUGCAGGUGCAGCUGGACUUUUCUCUGAGCUAUAAGCAUAUCUAUUUAGUCUGCCUAAAAAACCGAUUAUUACCUUUGCUGCAGCUAACAUAAAGGAGAUUAGUUCUUGUGCUGACUGAUGCAGGAUUCACAAAGACAGGCUUCGGCCGACUUUGUAAACUCGAUCUCAAAUCAAGUAAGACUACCCGCUGAACUUAAGCAUAUCAAUAAGCGGAGGA